CCUUGAGCCUGACUGUCAGGAGGUGCUGAGCCCAUCCAUCUCUCAUUGAUCUCAGCUGGCACUAGCCUGUGGGUAUCCAGCACCUCAGAAUGUCAGACCAAAUCCCCAGCUCCUGGAGUCAAGUGGAGAUGUGAUGCUAUCAGCCUUCAUCCUUAAAGAAAAAGGCCGUUUAUGGGGCUGAAGUUACAUGGACUACUCUUCCUAUGGUAUUUCUACCCAUACAGGAACUGAAAUGAGAUGACCACAUUAGAAGAUGAUGAGAGGACCACAUUAUUUCAGCCCUGUGAACUGCUCCGUGAAGCAUUACAAAAGCCAAGGGAAAAACAUAAACACAAAUACUAGACAUACGUGUGUCCUUGAGUCAGAUCUGCUCACAUUUCCUACUCCACAGGGAGAGCUGGCCUGUGCAUUUAGGGGAAAGCACGUUGGAUUCUAUUCUUUCUUGAGCACUACGAAAAUUGUCAACUAAUUCCUAAGGGUGAAAUUGUUACUGAUGAAGAUGACAAAAGACGCAGUCAGAGCCCAGCUGUCUGGUCCCAGGCAGAGUCCCAUCAAAACAAUAAUUUGCCUUGAAAAACUGGUGCAAUCUGAAAAAGACUGGGUCAGAUUCCCUGGUCCUUACUCAGUUCUGACUCAUGGACAAAACUCCCAUUGACUACAAAGGGCGGAAUAAGGAUUGUAGAAUCUGGCUCAUAGAGGGAAUAAACGCAAGAACCACACACUUGUCAUUUUUUACCUAGUCACUUUCCUAGCUCUAACCCCACACUAGAUGUUAGUGUGGCUAAGUGAUGACUCAUUUCAAACAUGAAGGGGGAAAAAAGAUUCAUCACAAGGGGAAAAUCUUUUAUAACCUGUCAGUAUGACUCUCAGAAUCCAAGCUUGCUUUGGGGAGUUAAUAAACAACACCCUUAGCUUUGGGUCUAACUUUAGUGUGCCUACAAAGUAUAUGUGAUACAUUUAAAACCAAUUGCACAGUGGGAGAUGUGGGGGGAAGUGUUUCCUCCCGUGAUUCAUCCUCUCCCAUCCUAGGGUCAAAUGCAAUGUGUCCAUUGUCUCUGUGGAGACGGGCAUUAACCCAGCUGAUCUCUAACAUCAGCGCUGAAACCUCUCUUAAAGCCAGGAGCUUCUCUGAAGGGGUAAUUAAAACUCAGAGGUGCACGUGCGCUGCUGAUUGGCCUGGAAAUCAGAUUGGGAUAAUGGGUUGAAUGAUUUAAAAAAAAAAUCCUAGCAAGAUUGACCAAUAAACAU